GCCCGCGUAGCUCAAUUGGCUAGAGCGUCAGACUUUUACGGCUUGUGUUGAAAUCUGAAGGCUGCGAGUUCGACCCUCGCCGUGGGCU